GUGGCCAGCGCGCGUGCGCACCGAGGAUGCUCUGGAAAGCCCGCGGCCGAGGCGGGGCUGGGAGUUGCGGCGUUUGUCUCUGGCGGAGGGAGACUCGGCUUCUCGGGCGAAUCUGGCUUUGGGCCUGGGGUUGGUCGUAAAAAUCGUAGUAAUUAAUUCUAGCGGGCUACUGUGUCUUGAACACCUUUUACAUUUAUUGGCUUGUUUAGUCUUCACAUCCCCCUUCCUGAAAGUGAAUUUGAACUGUGGUUGUUGCCUGGACUCGGCAUUCAAAUGCGACAAACUGACCGCUGGUUGUAGAAAUGUCUUGAAGAUGCUGAAGAACAAACAGAAUUCACAGAAUGGAAGAAACUUUCACCAUAUACAAUGAUUUGGAAUGCCAGUUUCACUGCAGAGUCUUCUAGAAUCUAGAAUAACCUUACAGGUUAUAACUUGGCUGAGAGGGAGUAUUCUGAGUAUUCUACCAGGUGAGACACAGUGACCACCAGCCCUGUUACCCAAGGAGGAAAUAAAUAUUGCUUUUCUUAUUGACUACCUCAAAAAAGUGUCUUAUGGCUAGUUGGGAGAAUCAGAUGAACCUUGUAGUCAGGUAGAGCAAUGUCUGCAUGGGGAGGACAGUCUGAGCAUCGCCCUUCAGAGCUACGGAUUGAUGACAGCAAAAGCCUAAAGAGUAUAUGAAAGACCCUGAGUUGCUCUGUGACAUUGAACAGUAAUUUCACCCCUUCUGGGACUCAGUUUUCUGAUACAUAAAAUAAUAAUUUCUGAGGUUCUUUUUAGUUUCUCCUUUUCCUUCUCACCCUUUUGAUGAUGCCCACAAUUUAUUGAUAAAAUCCUAACUGCACCAUGCAGGAUGGAUAGAUUACCUUGGUGAACACAGGGGCCACAACAUAGGUGGAUCCGGACAGGCUACUGCAGGGACUCUGCAUCUGGUUUAAGAAAAAGAGACCCUCUCAUCCAUACGGCCAAGGCCCUGAGACCUAGGAGGAUCGUGCUAAUGAGCCAACCGAAUCAGUAGUUGGUAGUAGUUGCACCCAGUGAGUUUUAGCUGCUACCAGUGGGUAGUAGUUGCACCCAGUGAGUUUUAGCAUGCUACCAGCCAUACCCCAAGUGUCCUCUUUGAAAAGGAUAAUGCUUUUAAUUUAAAUGUCAUUUUGCUUAUCUGCUCCAGUGCCACCCUUUUUACCUCCCUGUCCUCCAUCAUUCCAUUAGCUGAGAUGGUGAAAUAUAACACCGAGCAAUUAAUUUGAGAAAUGAACUUUGGCAGUUAUUUAGAGACUGUAUGUAAAAGGCAUAAAUAACUUGUAAAUUUGACUGACUAGAUAUUUUCCCCCUAGAUUUUUAUACAGUUGCUCUUGUCUGUUAGGUUUCUGUAAAAGCAUCUCCCCUCCCCCACUUUUUAAUUAAAAGGGAAUUCAUUCCAUGAAUAGUUGCAAUGCUCUGUUAUGGACUAAACUCCUAGAAACCAACUGUCUUAUGGUUUGGCACAUAGACAAAUGGUCAACCCACAGAACUACCAUGGAGUUAUUUCUGAGAUCAAUGAAUUUCUUUUCUUAUUCUAUUUGAGGUCAUACAGCUGGAGGCUCUGUUCAUGUAUGCUUUUCAAGAAAGUUACAUUGAUUCCUUUUUCUCUGGGCCUCUGUCUCCAUUACUGGGACCUCUCAGAAGGCUUUUUAAAACUGAACAUACCCUUUGGGAGUCAAUACACAAUGGUUGAACUAAGGUAGAGUAACUUGAUCUGAUGUUGGAGGUUUCAUUAACCAGGGAACCGAUGGUCAAAGAAACUCUAGUGGUUUUCUUCUUUAUCCUAUUGUGGAAACAAAACCAAACACAGUCCGGUGAAAGAUUAGAGGCAGCUUUGAUAGAAAUGCCUCACUGUAUUCAUUUGGCAUGUAUCACAUUUUUACUUAUAGUCCUUAUUUUUUUGAUUUGCAUAAUAAUUUCCAUUUUUUUCUUUUUGAACAGCUAGUGGAUUAUAGUUCUUAAUAGUUUUGCUUUAAAUUUUAUAUGUCUUAGUCUGAUAAUCAGUGAGCUGUUACUAAACACAAAUUAUGCAGAAGAAAUAAUAUAUAAGGCAAAUAAUCACUUUAAAAUUUGGGAAAUUUUAGGGUUUUUUUUGGUUAUUUUUUCAAAGUAGAAUUUCCUGUAUAUUCGUAUGACAACAAAUGCACAUUCACAUGCAUGUUCUAUACUUACUCUGACAUUUCUGUAGCAUAUUCCAAGCACAAUUAGAGAAAUGUUUUCUUCCCACUUCCCUUCUAAGAAAGAGAAAAAAGAAAAUUCUGUGUGGAUCUCCUUGUAAUUUAAUAAACCGUGGUUCCACUUGUAUUGUAUGCACAGUACAACUAGCAAAUUAGUUAGUUACAGGCAGCAGAUCAAUCCAGAAUGUCUGAAUUCUUUUUUUUUUAAUUUAUUUUUUAUUGGUGUUCAAUUUACUAACAUACAGAAUAACCCCCAGUGCCCGUCA